rnacentral:lncRNA from 1 species
GAAUUCAAAAUACCGAACAAAGUUAGAACAUUACAAGUCUCGCGAGUAGCGAGUUUGUCUUCACAUUACAAGUCGAUAUCUAAACUACCAUCACAUAGAAGAGGGUUGCGGUCACAAUGAGCAUCAUCGCGAUGAAACUGAUCUUCAUCCGGUUCCUCCUCCGCUCCUUCCUCUCUCCCGCUAGAUAGCACGCGUAUCUACCUUCCGCCUCCGCCCUAGUGGUGUAGCCUUUGUAACUGUUACCGCUGAAACGGUGAACCUAUCUCCGACACUCCUCCCAGUC